GGGGAUUCAAACUGGACCUCUUCCAACUUCAGAAGAGAAGUACCACUUGACUAACAACGAACAUUAGAAGCCGAAAUCAGACUACAUCAAUCUGGUUUGCUUGCUAUAAUUGGAAUAAUAUCUAUUGCACCCUCUUAGCUAGACUUAACAGACGCGUGCAUGAAUGUGAUGAUCAGCUGAGUGCUCUAGUCAUAUCAUCAAAUUGCUGGAAAAAGUUGGGACAAACAGUUGACAACCCAACACUUACGAGAAAGACAAGAUGGUUACCAAAUUAAAAUACAGAAGCAAUUACAAAUACGUAUCGUUCAGUUGAUGAUAUAACGGGCCCUUCUGGAAACUUAAUUUCAAAAUCUCUUCAUGGCAGUACGUCAAAGUUGCAAGAUAAGGACCCUUUAUCUGUCGGCAGUCUAGGAUAUUGUUGUAUAGUGUGCUGAUAGUUGGAUCCCG
rnacentral:lncRNA from 1 species